ensembl:lncRNA
AAUAAAUAAGCCCUCUGUAAGCUAUCUUGGGCUUCCCUGGUGGCUCAGUGGUAAAGAAUCUGCCUGCCAAUGCAGGAGAUGAAGGACACAUGGAUUUGAUCUCUGGGUUGGGAAGACCCUCUGAAGAAGGAAAUGGCAACCCAUUCUGGUACCUUGCCUGGGAAAUCCCAUGAGCAGAGGAGCCUGGCGGACUAUGGUCCAUGGAGUCACAAAGAGACUGAACGACAACAACGAGGUGACUUCGUGUGCUGUGGAUUCUUUACCAUUGAGCCACCUGGGAAGCCCACAAUGGAAUAUUACUCAGCCAUAAAAAGGAAUGAAUUUGAGGCAGCUGUGGUGAGGUAGAUGAACCUAGAGCUGUUAUACAGAGUGAGUCUUAAGCACUGUCAUUCAUCUGCUGUUUGCUACCUGAAACCGAAGGAAAAGAGCCUGAGAAUUCAUGGAUUCCUGAGAUUCAGACACAGGAAUGUGACAGCGGGUGGUAAUGCCUCUGUUAGACUGUGGAUAAAAAUGAGCGCGUGUUCCAAGGCCUUGAUGAGCUAGACCAGUUAUGCA